CUAGCAGCUAACACCAGACCCACACCGCACAGCCAAGACACUCUGUGGUGGACUCUGUGUUGGGGACUCUGUGUUGGACUCUGUGUUGGACUCUGUGUUGUGGACUCUGUGUUGUGGACUCUGUGUUGUGGACUCUGUGUUGGGGACUCUGUGUUGGACUCUGUGUUGUGGACUCUGUGUUGGGGACUCUGUGUUGGACUCUGUGUUGUGGACUCUGUGUUGGACUCUGUGUUGUGGACUCUGUGUUGGACUCUGUGUUGUGGACUCUGUGUUGUGGACUCUGUGUUGGACUCUGUGUUGUGGACUCUGUGUUGGACUCUGUGUUGGACUCUGUGUUGUGGACUCUGUGUUGUGGACUCUGUGUUGGACUCUGUGUUGUGGACUCUGUGUUGUGGACUCUGUGUUGGACUCUGUUGGACUCUGUGUUGUGGACUCUGUGUUGGACUCUGUGUUGUGGACUCUGUGUUGUGGACUCUGUGUUGGACUCUUGGACUCUGUGUUGUGGACUCUGUGUUGUGGACUCUGUGUUGGACUCUAUGUUGUGGACUCUGUGUUGGACUCUGUGUUGGACUCUGUGUUGUGGACUCUGUGUUGUGGACUCUGUGUUGGCUGUUGGACUCUGUGUUGUGGACUCUGUGUUGUGGACUCUGUGUUGGACUCUGUGUUGUGGACUCUGUGUUGGACUCUGUGUUGUGGACUCUGUGUUGGACUCUGUGUUGGACUCUGUGUUGUGGACUCUGUGUUGGACUCUGUGUUGGACUCUGUGUUGUGGACUCUGUGUUGUGGACUCUGUGUUGGACUCUGUGUUGGACUCUGUGUUGUGGACUCUGUGUUGGACUCUGUGUUGGACUCUGUGUUGUGGACUCUGUGUUGGACUCUGUGUUGUGGACUCUGUGUUGGACUCUGUGUUGUGGACUCUGUGUUGUGGACUCUGUGUUGGACUCUGUGUUGUGGACUCUGUGUUGCCCACUGUUGGCACUCGGGAGCAUAAAGGUCACAACCUUUGACCCUCAUCCUACAUAG
rnacentral:lncRNA from 1 species